rnacentral:rRNA from 1 species
GUAGGUGAACCUGCGGAAGGAUCAUUACCUAGAGUUGUAGGCUUUGCCUGCUAUCUCUUACCCAUGUCUUUUGAGUACCUUCGUUUCCUCGGCGGGUCCGCCCGCCGAUUGGACAAUUUAAACCAUUUGCAGUUGCAAUCAGCGUCUGAAAAAACUUAAUAGUUACAACUUUCAACAACGGAUCUCUUGGUUCUGGCAUCGACGAAGAACGCAGCGAAAUGCGAUAAGUAGUGUGAAUUGCAGAAUUCAGUGAAUCAUCGAAUCUUUGAACGCACAUUGCACCCCUUGGUAUUCCAUGGGGCAUGCCUGUUCGAGCGUCAUUUGUACCUUCAAGCUCUGCUUGGUGUUGGGUGUUUGUCUCGCCUCUGCGCGUAGACUCGCCUCAAAACAAUUGGCAGCCGGCGUAUUGAUUUCGGAGCGCAGUACAUCUCGCGCUUUGCACUCAUAACGACGACGUCCAAAAGUACAUUUUUACACUCUUGACCUCGGAUCAGGUAGGGAUACCCGCUGAACUUAAGCAUAUCA